AUUGAACGCUGGCGGCAGGCCUAACACAUGCAAGUCGAGCGGAUGAAGGGAGCUUGCUCCUGGAUUCAGCGGCGGACGGGUGAGUAAUGCCUAGGAAUCUGCCUGGUAGUGGGGGAUAACGUCCGGAAACGGGCGCUAAUACUGCAUACGUCCUGCGGGAGAAAGAGGGGGAUCUUCGGACCUCACGCUAUCAGAUGAGCCUAGGUGGGAUUUGCUAGCUGGUGGGGUAAGGGCCUACCAAGGCGACGAUCCGUAACUGGUCUGAGAGGAUGUUCAGUCACACUGGAACUGAGACACGGUCCAGGCUCCUACGGGAGGCAGCAGUGGGGAAUAUUGGGCAAUGGGCGGAAGCCUGAUCCAACCAUGCCGCGUGUGUGAAGAAGAUCUUCGGAUUGUAAAGCACUUUUAGUUGGGAGGAAGGGCAGUAAGUUAAUACCUUGCUGUUUUGACGUUACCAACAGAAUAAGCACCGGCUAACUUCGUG
rnacentral:rRNA from 1 species